AGUGAACGCUGGCGGUAGGCCUAACACAUGCAAGUCGAACGGCAGCACAGUAAGAGCUUGCUCUUACGGGUGGCGAGUGGCGGACGGGUGAGAAUACAUCGGAAUCUACUUUUUCGUGGGGGAUAACGUAGGGAAACUUACGCUAAUACCGCUUACGACCUACGGGUGAAAGCAGGGGAUCUUCGGACCUUGCGCGAUUGAAUGAGCCGAUGUCGGAUUAGCUAGUUGGCGGGGUAAAGGCCCACCAAGGCGACGAUCCGUAGCUGGUCUGAGAGGAUGAUCAGCCACACUGGAACUGAGACACGGUCCAGACUCCUACGGGAGGCAGCAGUGGGGAAUAUUGGACAAUGGGCGCAAGCCUGAUCCAGCCAUACCGCGUGGGUGAAGAAGGCCUUCGGGUUGUAAAGCCCUUUUGUUGGGAAAGAAAAGCAGCAGGUUAAUACCCCGCUGUUCUGACGGUACCCAAAGAAUAAGCACCGGCUAACUUCGUG
rnacentral:rRNA from 1 species